UUUGAUCCUGGCUCAGGAUGAACGCUAGCGGCAGGCUUAACACAUGCAAGUCGAGGGGUAACAGAGGUAGCUUGCUACUUGCUGACGACCGGCGCACGGGUGCGUAACGCGUAUAGAAUCUACCUUGUACUAGGGGAUAGCCUUUGGAAACGAAGAUUAAUACCCUAUAGUAAGUAUUUAUGGCAUCAUUUAUACUUUAAAGGUUACGGUACAAGAUGACUAUGCGUCCUAUUAGUUUGUUGGUGAGGUAACGGCUCACCAAGACUUCGAUAGGUAGGGGCCCUGAGAGGGGGAUCCCCCACACUGGUACUGAGACACGGACCAGACUCCUACGGGAGGCAGCAGUGAGGAAUAUUGGACAAUGGAGGCAACUCUGAUCCAGCCAUGCCGCGUGCAGGAUGACGGCCCUAUGGGUUGUAAACUGCUUUUAUGUAGGAAGAAACACUCUCACGUGUGAGAGCUUGACGGUACUACAAGAAUAAGGACCGGCUAACUCCGUGCCAGCAGCCGCGGUAAUA
rnacentral:rRNA from 1 species